AAUCCGGUGACCUAAGUGGUUAGAGCAUCCGCCUCUGAUGCGGGAGGUGGCAAGUUCGAACCCUGUCCGAGUCA